AGGGUGAGAGCCCCGUCGUGC
rnacentral:snRNA from 1 species